GACGAACGCUGGCGGCGCGCCUAACACAUGCAAGUCGAACGGAGCUGAGAGAAGCUUGCUUUUCUUAGCUUAGUGGCGAACGGGUGAGUAACGCGUGAGUAACCUGCCCUGGAGUGGGGGACAACAGUUGGAAACGACUGCUAAUACCGCAUAAGCCCACGAUCCGGCAUCGAUUGAGGGAAAAGGAUUUAUUCGCUUCAGGAUGGACUCGCGUCCAAUUAGCUAGUUGGUGAGGUAACGGCCCACCAAGGCGACGAUUGGUAGCCGGACUGAGAGGUUGAACGGCCACAUUGGGACUGAGACACGGCCCAGACUCCUACGGGAGGCAGCAGUGGGGGAUAUUGCACAAUGGGGGAAACCCUGAUGCAGCGACGCCGCGUGGAGGAAGAAGGUUUUCGGAUUGUAAACUCCUGUCGUUAGGGACGAUAAUGACGGUACCUAACAAGAAAGCACCGGCUAACUACGUG
rnacentral:rRNA from 1 species